CCAGAUGUAUUGAAAUUUCAGCAGGGAAUUUAGAAGUUACAGAAUUUUUACCAAGUCGUGUUCAGGAAAACUUUGCAGAAGGAAUUCAAAAGUGAAGAAGGUUUCAUUUACCAGUGAAAAAUGAAGUGAUUCAUUCCCAGUGAGAAGACUGGAAGGUGAAGAGUGGUGAUGUCAUGUUUGAAAGAGAGUCCUUCUCACAUGGGUCCUUUGUACUGGUUUCCAGACAAAUGCUGCCUAAUUCCAGGACACGAACCUGCAGCAUCUCCAAGUUUCCUCCAUACAACCUUAAGAA